rnacentral:rRNA from 1 species
GACGAACGCUGGCGGCGUGCUUAACACAUGCAAGUCGAACGAGAGGAGAAGGAAGCUUGCUUCUUUCAAAUCUAGUGGCAAACGGGUGAGUAACACGUAAACAACCUGCCUUCAGGAUGGGGACAACAGACGGAAACGACUGCUAAUACCGCAUGACGCAUGACUGGGGCAUCCCGGACAUGCCAAAGAUUUUAUCGCUGAAAGAUGGCCUCGCGUCUGAUUAGAUAGUUGGCGGGGUAACGGCCCACCAAGUCGACGAUCAGUAGCCGGACUGAGAGGUUGACCGGCCACAUUGGGACUGAGAUACGGCCCAGACUCCUACGGGAGGCAGCAGUGGGGAAUAUUGGGCAAUGGACGCAAGUCUGACCCAGCAACGCCGCGUGAAGGAAGAAGGCUUCGGUUGUAACUUCUUUAAGGGGUAAGAGCAGAAGACGGUACCCCUUGAAUAAGCCACGGCUAACUACGUG